CUACGGGGCGCACCAGUGGGGAAUAUUGCACAAUGGAGGAAACUCUGAUGCAGCAACGCCGCGUGGAGGAUGACACUUUUCGGAGCGUAAACUCCUUUUAUAUAGGAAGAUAAUGACGGUACUAUAUGAAUAAGCACCGGCUAACUCCGUGCCAGCAGCCGCGGUAAUACGGAGGGUGCAAGCGUUACUCGGAAUUACUGGGCGUAAAGAGCGUGUAGGCGGGUUUGUAAGUUGGAUGUGAAAUCCUAUGGCUCAACCAUAGAACUGCAUCCAAAACUGCUUACCUAGAAUAUGGGAGAGGUAGAUGGAAUUUCUGGUGUAGGGGUAAAAUCCGUAGAGAUCAGAAGGAAUACCGAUUGCGAAGGCGAUCUACUGGAACAUUAUUGACGCUGAGACGCGAAAGCGUGGGGAGCAAACAGGAUUAGAUACCCUAGUAGUC
rnacentral:rRNA from 1 species